GCUUUUCUUUCUGCGCCUGUGCAAUCGAAUAGGAGGAGCUGUGGGUGAAGUCUACUUCCUGUUCUCUCUUCAAUCCUGCCUGCGAGGGAGAAGGGUGGACGCCAUUAGAAGCUCAUCAUCUUCUACUGAGGCCGGGACCUCUCCUCCAAGACGUCGUCGUAGAUAUGAUAUGUAAUCAUCUGCGGAGUAGAGGCCUCCCGGCCCAGACACCGCAGGAGAGGAGGAAGUCAGUUGUGGAGGACAGCAAGCGGCAGCUCAUCCCGUUGACUCCAAUAAAGGUCGUCAAGAAAAAGCCAGAGGAAGUCGGGGAGCACGCGGUGGUCGUGUUCGUGGUUCCAGAGGCUCCACCAGAACGGAUGAGGAGGAAUUUGGCAGUUUGAUUAUCGACAAUGAACUCCUCAUCCAGAUGGAGGAGGACAGACCACUACUGUGGGACCACACCGACCGCCGCCACGCAGACCAUCAUGCUA